UACGUAGGGGGCAAGCGUUGUCCGGAAUCAUUGGGCGUAAAGAGCGUGUAGGCGGCCUUUUAAGUCUGCUGUGAAAGUCCAGGGCUCAACCCUGGGAUGUCAGUGGAUACUGGAAGGCUCGAGUCCGGAAGAGGCGAGUGGAAUUCCUGGUGUAGCGGUGAAAUGCGCAGAUAUCAGGAGGAACACCAAUGGCGAAGGCAGCUCGCUGGGACGGUACUGACGCUGAGACGCGAAAGCGUGGGGAGCAAACAGG
rnacentral:rRNA from 1 species